rnacentral:lncRNA from 1 species
AACCUUCUAUUCUUUGCAGGUAACUACUUAUGUUUUGACAAGACCUGGAAGGGAAUUGUUAUUCACAGUUGUCUCACAAGAUGAGAAGUACAAAGCCAAGGUAAAAGAUUAUUAUGUCCUUACCUAAUUUGAGUCUAGUGAAAAAUAAGAAACGAAAGAAGACCUUUGUUUGCACGUCAUAGAUGCAGUUGUAUCAGUAGCACACAUCAUCAUGCAUCACCAAGAACUAAAAAAUUUACUAAUCCAUGGGUUGCUCGCCAGCUUUCAUCAAUUUGCAUUGAUGUGUAGUGUCGUUUGUUCUAUCUUUCAUUCUGUUAACACACAUACUGCAUAGGUCAGCAAACUUGUAUUUCUUGGAAAUAUAACACCUGGUGCCAAGUGAGCCAUGUGAGUGUUCAACGUUGGCUUCAUUUGAAUUCACUGAUGCAUGUCAGAGUUAGCCUUGUCUCAUAAAAUGGAGAGUGGGUGAUUAACAGCAAAAUUUGAAGUGGAGUUUCC